rnacentral:rRNA from 1 species
GUGAGGAAUUUUCCGCAAUGGGCGAAAGCCUGACGGAGCAAUGCCGCGUGAAGGAUGAAGGCCUAUGGGUUGUAAACUUCUUUUCUCAGAAAAGAAUUAUGACGGUAUCUGAGGAAUAAGCAUCGGCUAACUCUGUGCCAGCAGCCGCGGUAAGACAGAGGAUGCAUGCGUUAUCCGGAAUGAUUGGGCGUAAAGCGUCUGUAGGUUGUUUAAAAAGUAUUCUGUCAAAGAUUAGGGCUUAACCCUAGAUAGGCAGAAUAAACUUUUAAGCUAGAGUUUGGUAGAGGCAGAGGGAAUUCCCGGUGGAGCGGUGAAAGGCGUAGAUAUCGGGAGGAACACCAAAGGCGAAGGCACUCUGCUGGGCCAAUACUAACACUGAGAGACGAAAGCGAGGGGAGCAAAUGGGAUUAGAUACCCGUGUAGUCC